AGAGUACUGAUAGAGAGAAAUAGAAUAUCGGAUUAGAUGCGUCGUUUUGCAUUUUUGAUGGGAGAGGGAGGACGAGAAGGCAGACAAAAUAAAGAUGAAUAUGUUGA
ensembl:ncRNA T04C12.20 ncRNA